UACGGGGGGAGCAAGCGUUGUUCGGAUUUACUGGGCGUAAAGGGCGCGUAGGCGGCCACUGCAAGUCGGUUGUGAAAUCUCCGGGCUUAACCCGGAAAGGUCAAUCGAUACUGCAGGGCUAGAGUGCGGAAGGGGCAACUGGAAUUCUCGGUGUAGCGGUGAAAUGCGCAGAUAUCAGGAGGAACACCUAUUGCGAAGGCAGCUCGCUGGGACGUGACUGACGCUGAGACGCGAAAGCGUGGGGAGCAAACAGG
rnacentral:rRNA from 1 species